UACGAAGGGGGCUAGCGUUGUUCGGAAUCACUGGGCGUAAAGCGCACGCAGGCGGAUCGUUAAGUCGGGGGGUGAAAUCCCGAGGCUCAACCUCGGAACUGCCUUCGAUACUGGCGAUCUUUGAGUCCGGGAGAGGUGAGUGGAACCUCCGAGUGUAGAGGUGAAAUUCGUAGAUAUUGGAAGAAACACCAGUGGCCGAAGGCGGCUCACUGGCC
rnacentral:rRNA from 1 species